CACUGGCUUUGAAAUACACUGACUGCUCCAUUACCUUCGGCUGUGGUCCGUCUAGAUACAAACCUUUCCACCACUGGACCACAGCUGAAACAAAAACUAGAGUUUCCAGGACCUACCACUUUCCAAAACACCCUUUUCCUUACUGUUGAGAAUACGUGUGCUGCAGAUAGCUCGAUAGCACCGGAGGACUAGCUCGGGCUGUUUCUCUCGUGCUGCACCGUCAAUAAAUGAGAUAUCUGAGACUUAUAUGGUAAACCCAGUCUGACUGUGUGAGUGGGGUGUGGGGAGAUCAGCGGCGAUACAUCGGGUCACUGAAGCCGCCGCUGCAAAGGUGGAUUCGAAUGUCAGCAGUGACAGCUCUGGUGCUGGAAAAUGGCUGCCAGGUAGCCUCCUAAAUGGUCACAUUGGGAAGUUCGCCAAACAUUUCCGCUUUCACUGAAGUCAGUUAUAAAGUUUCCGUUUUUUGUACACAGAAUCAGGCUAAGUCAGGAGACUGGUUAAAAAACCUACCCCGCCUAAAUUUGUUACGUUCGAACUAGCCCCUCGCUCGCGCCCAAAUGCCACCGACCACCCACAGGAGAAAGGCAGCGCCCAUGAAAGAGAUGGAGCGACACGGAGGGAAGUGGAGGGGCUUCCGCUUCCGGCGGCCGCGCUGACGGUGGCGGGGUCCGGCUGCACUGCGCGGCAGUGUUGGGUGUCAGGCAGGAGGACAUGCGGUCGCCGGCGCUGCCGUGGUUCCUGGUGGGGCCGCUGCUGGUGUCGCUGUUGCUGCUGGAGGCCGCCCGCUGCGGGGAGGCUGCGGCCCCGCGCCCCCGGGACGCGGCCACCGCUUCCCCGCGCCCCACGGAGGCGGCCGGCGGGGCCGCCACGCGGAGCAGCAGCGGCAGCAGCCGCCUAGCCGAGGUGUCGGCGCAGCCCGAGCAGGGCCAGCCCAUGACCCAGCGCGCCCUGUCCGUGCUGGUGCUGGCCAGCGCCGCCCUUAUCGUCUACUUCGUGAUCCGGACCGUGCGGCUUAGAGGGCAAAACAGAAAAACCCGAAGAUACGGAGUUUUGGAUACAAACAUAGAAAACAUGGAGCUGACCCCAUUAGAACAAGAUGAUGAUGAUGAUGAUACAACACUAUUCGAUGCCAGCCAUCCUCGGAGAUUGAGUUCCUGCAGAUUGAGUGGGUGCCUCUCCCAUGAUAGAUGUCUCUUGAAAUUCUGCUUGGUGAAAGGUCUGCCUUAUCUACCUCCAUCUUGUCAGACAUGCCAGCAUACUGCCUCAUGAGAUGUGUGUGGCUGUUGAAGGAGUGCACCCUCAGCAAGUUCAUAGACAACGCCAAGCUGAGAGGGAGUGUUGAUCUGCUGGAGAGCAAGAAGGUUCUGCAGAGGGAUCUGGAUAGGCUGGAUUGAUGGCCUGAGGCCAGCUGGAUGAGUUUCAACAAGGCCAAGUGCUGGGUCCUGCCCUUGGAUCACAACAAUCCCUGGCAGUUCUACAAGCUGUGACAGUGACUGGAAGGCUGCCUAGGGAAAAGGGCCUGGGAUUGCUGGUGAGCAGUAGCUGAGCAUGAGCCAGCCAUGGUGGCCCAGGUGGCCAAGAAGGCCAGUGGCAUACUGGCCUGAAUCAGCAACAGUGUGGCCAGCAGGACCAGGGCAGUAUCCCUGUACUCAGGACUGGUGAGGUCACAUUUUGAGUGCUGGAUUCAGUUCUGGGCCCCUCAAUUCAGGACACUGAGGUGCUGAAGUGAGUCCAGAGGAGGGCAAUGAAGCUGGACAAGGACCUGGAGCAUCUGGAGCACAAAGAAGGGUUCGAUGAAGAGAAACUGAGGAAAUUUGGGUUGUUUACCCUAAAGAAAAGGAGGAUCAGGAGGGAAUUAUCACCCUGUACAAGAACCAGAAAGGAGAUUGUAGCCUGGUGAGGAUCAGCCUCUUCUCCUAGGGAAGAAUGGUGGAAAUAUCAUCAUCUCUUGAUAAAUUUACAAAGUCAGAUUUUAGAGCUUUGUAGAAGAAAUGCACCCAAUUCUUAUAUCAACACACCUGAAGAAAAUCAGAGAUGAGGUUUUUCAAGGUGGUUCAAUCUGUCUUGCUCUGACACUUUUUCUUGCUGUAUUGUCUCACUGCAAUUUUGAUGAUUGUCUGUCAUACUGUAAUUCCUACAGCAAGAUCAGAUGCUCUUUGCUUUAACUUUAUGGCAUUGGAGCAUAUCAUAGCUGAAGAUUUUUUCUCCUUGUGCCUCUCUGCCAUGUCACUGUUAUACCCCCUUGGAAGAGAAUUCAGGUUUGGACAGCCUGUUACCCACUUUGCAUGAAUAAUACCUAAGGAUAUGUUUUGUGCUCAGGUUUGACUAACUGCUACUGUAGGAACUUGGGUAAUUAGUUUUAGAAUUUAAUAAUUUCCCCAGAGUUUGUGAAGAAGUUCAAGCUGUGACUUCAAUCAUCAAGUAGAUAAAAUAGGGUGGCAAAAUCAAAGGUGCACAUUUGGGAAUGCGAACUUAGAAAUUCUGAACCCUGAGCCAUACAGCCAGAAGUACCCUUGGAGACUUUCAGAGCUGUCAGUUCUCAGACCUCCUUUUAAACACAAUUUUCAAAAAAGUAGAUUCCAAACAAAAUCUAAACAAAGAAAAGAUGGAACAUUAUAUAUCAUUAUACUCAGAAUGAAGUAGUUAUUAUGGAGAGUUUCUUACAGAAGUGUACCCUUCAAUCAAUGUUUACAGUCACAAAUGUGAUGGAAAUUCAAAGCGGACACUUGCUUACCACUUACCAGAACAUCCCUUGAUUAUGAUGUCAGACUUCAAAGGAAGUAAUUUGCUACUUAACAUAUAAUUAAAGUUGAUAGCCUGACAAUUUGCCACAGGAUGUCAUGCCUGAAAAACAUACAGGCUUAACAAAUUAAGAAACCAAAAGCACAUAGAUACAGGAUAACCACCAGAAAAAGAGUCUUAGUAGACUUUCUAAAAGGGAAACUUUCUGAAUAAUGUUUUUUGGAGACAAAGAAAAUAUUCUCCGUAAGUGCCUCUUCCUACUCUCCUUCUCUACUGCUUUGGUUAUAUCUGAGAUGACAUAUCUGAGCAGAAACUGCUUUGAUCUUCUUUUCUUAAGGCUAAGAUAUCACAGAAAGGGCAUAUUUGUUGUGAAUGGGAAGGAGAACAUUCGCUGGAAAUAGCAAGAAACCUGGAGGUGAGAUUUUGUUGCAAGAGUGUCUACUGUUCACUGCAAAAGCAUGGAGAAAUCUUAGAACUUGUUGAGAUCAAUAGUGACUGCUCAGACUUACAGAGCCAUUUAAAGCACAUACUUAAACAUCUUAGUAAAGGACAGAAGAAUUACAAACAGCAACUUCAGUUUCAUUAUCCAUAAGCUUUAGUUCAGGUUGAAAUCAAUUUAUUUACCUCCUAGAAAGAAAUGAAAGAAUGGAAUGGAAUAUUGAAAUACAGAACUCUAUACAAACUGAAAUAUAAAAUGCAAAUGUUUCUAAUAAUGGGCUAAAAUUUUAAAGACUUGAAUUUUCUUAGGUGUCUGUUCAAAUUGUAAUUCUAACGCUGCAUUCUACUGUUUCAAUUUGUUUAUUUGUGUUUUUGUUGUUGGUUGGGGGUUUGUUUGUUUGUUUUGGUUUUUUUAUUUUUUCAAAUAAAUAACUUCAGUUUUUGUAUUUGAAUCAAAACUCUAAAAGCAAUUUAAAAUCUGAAAUAAAGUUUUCCAUUUGUUUAUGCAGUAAGGAAACUUCGGAAUAAUUAGUUCAUUAGAUAUAAAAAAUACACUAGAAAAUUAAUAUUUAAACAGUAUCUGUCUUUUAUUUUUAACUUUUGAUAAAGGUUGUGAAGAAAUGUAUUGAUAUAGAGGAUAUUACAACAAUCCAUUUUAAAAUUAUGGGCUUCAUUAAAAUGUAAUUGAUUUCAGUAAUUUUUGCAGCCCCCAGAUCAAAAGCAAUGAUGCUAACAGGUUAGGACCUACUCUCCAAAAGAAGAAAUUAUUAUUUUAUUAUUAUUACAAAAAUGCAUUAAAAUGAACAUACACCCAAAGAACUCUGCAAAAACACAACCAAAGAGAAACACAAACCCAAAUAAAACAAUUAAAACCAAUUGGCUUUUAUGCAUUGGGAAUAAAUUUAUAUUAUUCUGUCUUUUCUAUAUGUAAGGGCAUUUAUAGAAAUCAUCUAAGAUAUAUUCACCAAAUACAAUGGUGAAUUGAAAAGAGUAAGUCAGUGAAAGACCUACCAUACAGAACCUUUCACAAAUUACUCAGUUCAUGACACAAAUGAAAUUUAUUAAACUUUCUCAUUUAAUCUUGCUUGGAGUAAUGAUAGAGAAUAUACAGUCUCAAAACAAAUUAAAGGGAAAUUCUAAACAACAGCAAAGCCUAAUGAGCUUUAAGCAGUAUUUGCAGAUCUAUGUUAGGGGAAUGUUUGAAAUUUUUAUUUUAACACAUGCAGUGUUAAAUUUGUGAAGGCAAUGCAACUUGCUCAAAGGAAAUAUUCCUGUGCCCAAACUAAAACCAGGAUCUAUAUCCUGUAAUACAGAAACAGCUAUAAAUUACAGCAUGUCAUUUUUUUUCUUAUUCGCUCUACAACUAACAUCAGCAGAGACAGUAGUAGGAAAAAAGUGAGCUGUAGAAGUGGAACUCAAUGUCUUGCCAGUAUUGCAGCCACGCACAAUGUGCAUUUCCUUCCCCAAGCCCAAGUCAGAUCCAGCUAUUCCUGAACCCCUGAUCAAACACACCAAGGCUGUAAGGUUGUUCUUUGAGGCCCCUUCUUGAAUAAUGCCAAAGCGUUAGAGCUUGGGUUGUUUUAAUUACAAAAAAUUGUCAGGAUAAAGCCUUUUCUCUCCAACUUUGUUUUGAACCCUGUUCUACAGGAGAAUAUUAAAUGUCUGUCAUUUAUGUAGAGAAUACCAUAGCAGCUGCAGCUAGAAACUGGCUGAGACAGAAAUCAGGGAUUUGAUCCUUAUGACAGAAGUGAGAGGAUAGAAAUACUGCCAGCUGUUUUCUGCAGCACUUUGUGUACUCCGUGCAUACAAUUUGACAUACAAUCUCUAAGAAAAACAGCAACAAAAUAAAUCAAUUUACUGGUAUGAAAUACUUACCAAAAAAUAUUUUCUAUACCAACUAUUUUGAGCUAUUGGAAUUAUGUUAUAUAUAUAAAGGUUUUGAAACUAAAGAUUAAAACCUAGUUGUAUUUCUUUGAUGAUUUUAUGACAGGACCAAAAUGAUCUUUCUUUAAGGUGCAAUGACCUUUUUGUUUGUUUUCAUUUUAGUGGAUUUUAACUUGGACUAGUGAGUAUAUAUAAUGUAAAAAAAGAAAAAGAGAGGGUUUAGACAUUGGAGCUAUGUUUGAACAAAACAUGUUUGAGCCUGUAACAGGAUGACAACGAACCAUUAAUGGCUUUCUUUAGAAACUUACACUUUUCUGUGCAAUCUUGCUUUUAGGAGGAGUGAACUUCUGAAACCUAACUCCUAAGUAUCUCCUUUCAUCAUACUUUAGUUCACACUGUGAAUGGCUGUCCUGGUUUGGAGGACAGGUGUCUGCCAAGAAAAGCAAACAUUCUGUUUGAAAUGGAGAAUGUAAACCCCCUCCCUCCAAAUUAUUAUAAUUUUGAAAUUAAGGGACUCUCAGGCAAAGAUAUGGGAAAUCUGAUUAACCGUUCUUUACUAGGAAAAUUAAUACAGAAAUACAAUAUUACAAAGAACAAUCCCAAAACCACUGACAGAAUCAAAAUAUAACCUGACACUCUGUCAGUCAGGGUGUUGGUAGCAGUCUGAUUCAAUGGUGGCUACAGUCCUCCUGCAGUGGCAGGUGUGGUUUAAUUGAAGCAGCGGUCCUGUAAAAGAGUGCAGUUUUCCUCUGAAGGUCCAGGGAUGAUGUGGAAAGGCCCAGCUUUCCUCUGGAAUCCAGUGGAAAGAAGGCUGCCUUGGUGUUCAAAAUCUCAGUUUUUAUCCGUGUAGGAAAGGAUUGUCUCCUCCCCCUGACUGGAGCAUCUCCCAGUGGAAUGAUGUAAUUUUAUCAGUCAUACAGUGGGACUUAAUGGGCCACCAGCAGAUGAUAUCUUACUGGAAGGAGGAUGGGUUCUGGAAAGUAUAAAAGAUGAUUGCCCCACCUAGUUUUAAAGAUGGCCCAUUAGCAGAUAAUAUGUGCCACGGAGAUAAGGGUCACUGCCCCGCCCGGCUUCAACAGAUGGUGAUAGCAUACACAUUUCUGGUCACAUGCUGUAUUGCAACCCAAGACAAUGACAAGAUGAAAACUUGUGCCCACAUGUAUGAUCCCACAGGACACAUGUAUUCCGGAAAUGCACCUGUUGGGCUUCAGCUACAGGUGGUCAUUCAGUCAUUGGAACUACAAUAGAACCUGGCAUGGAGACUGGCAGUGGUGUCUCAGCAUUAAUUUCUUUUCCUGUAUAAAAGUCCUUCUAUUUGCUAAGGUAAACACAACCUUAAAGCAAGUCAUCUGCUAGAGGGAAAAAUAAAAAUAAUAAACUACCUACACCAUCUAUAUUAGAUGCUGACUCUUUUCUGAAGCAGAAUACAUUAUCCAGGAAACCUCUUUCCUGAAUCAGGAGGGUUGAAAAAGACAACUGGACAGCUUCAGAUAAUAAUACAGUGCAUCAGGGUUUUAAAACCUCUGUUAAAUGGCAAAUCUAACAGAAAUAUGAACAAUGUAAAAAAUCAAUUAAGUGUAAUUGAUGUGCAUAUUCUUCAGUUAUGGCAGUCUAUUUUUAUACAGGGCUCAUAAAGAAUAUUAAUUUUCCUCUGGGUAUAGAAAAGUUUGGGGUUUUUUGUUGUUGUUUGUUUGUUUGUUUGUUUGUUUGUUUUGGGGGGGUUAUUAUUUUUUUUUUUCUUUUUUGUCUGUCUGGGUUUUUGUGGUUUUGUUUCUUUGUUUGUUUAUUGGGGGCUGGGUGUUGAGUGGUUGGUUUUUUGUGGGUUUUUUGGCAGCACUUUAAAAAUUAAUUCUUGUAGUUCCACCAAGGCUUUUCACAACAAUACUUAUUCUUAGAGGCUGUUUGUUUCUCUGAAAUUGAAGAAGCUGGAAACGAAAAGGAAAUAUAUAAGCCAGACACUCAGAUGCCUGAACAUUAGAACAGAAUUUGCAUGGCUGCAAAUGCACAUGAAAUGGUUUAAAACACUAUUCAAAAAUGCCACCCUCUGCAUAUGACUAUCCGUAGUUAAUGGACAACUAGAGCUCUGACAUGGGUAUCGGGUCUCUCCACAGUGCUCAGAUUCACUCCUCUUGCCUGGUUUGUUCAAUUAGCUCUGUUGGGAGAUUGCAAAAUGCAAGGAGGAAGUCCUGAACAGUCAUCUGAAGGAACAUGACAGUGACAAGUUCAGAUAUGUAAUUUCGGCUCUUUUCUGUGUCAAUUCAUAGCACCUGGAGGGAAGCUGCUUGAUAAUGAAAGAGGACCUAGAAAUAUUUUUCUCUUCUUCAUUCUGAAAAGUGUCAGUUGUUUGUUUUCUUGCCUGUUUAAUGCUCAAUAACUAAAUCCUUGCUGUAUCAGGCAAUAAGACCCAAGUAUCUCUUUCCUUAUUCAGGAAAUGACUGAAAAAAUAUCCAGGAUUUUUCACUCUCCUAGGCUUUUCAACGCCCCACACAAAGUAGGAACUUGGCAUGAGUCUGGACUUCAAUGCAUGCCAUUGUCUUCAUAUCUGUCAGGCCCAAUAAGAGUUUCUGUCACAUUCAGAUUCAGAAAGCAAUGGCAGAGUGGAAGUGGGGGCAGAGAGGAACCUGUGGGCUCUAAUUUUCCUGCGCAAAAGAAGAAAUGGCAAAAGGGAAAUGGUACAGCUGUUUAGAAAUGCUUACAAAAAGGUAUUUGUUGUUUCCAGAAUUAUUAAUGGAGAAAGUCCAGGCAUAAAUAUCUGACUUCAGAAGGGAAUUCAAGACUUCAAGUGAUAAACCUCUGAGAUUAUCUGGAGGUAGACAUGACUGCAGUCUUUCAUCCCAGGGGUUUUGUUUGGCUGUUUGGACAAUUCCUCGUUUCCUGCCUUGGCUGUUGUGGACCACCUUCUGAGAUAUUUAUAUUGUUUGACUCAUCUAGCCACCACUAAAUGACUACAUCAGUGGAUAAGGAAAGGCCUUGUAGACCUCGCUAAACAUCUCUAAGACCUUUGAUAUAUUCCCCUGCAACAUUCCUACCUCUAAGCUGGAAAGAUACGGGUUUGGUGUGGAAUCAGAGUGUCUUGAUUUGUUUGUUUGAGGAAGGUGUUUGUUAAGGAAGGCAGGAACUUCCCUUGGAAUGAAAAAUAUUACCCCCUUUCCUCUGAAUUAUUAUAGGUUUGAAAUUAAGAGGCUUUUAGACAAAGAUAUUGGAAAAGCAAUAAUAGCUAUUUACUAGUAUGUAUGUGUAUAGCAACAAUGGCAGAAGCAGCAAACGAAGAGCCAGAAAACCCAAUGAAGCCUCUUCCUGCUAAGCAUUUUUCCCUUGGUGCAGUUCCCAUCACAGCUGGCAGGGGCGCCACUGGCUCCUGGUGGGCAGGGCAAAUGCGAUGAUUCCCCCGUGGCUGCAGGGGGCGCUGUGGCAUGGGCUCAGCUGUGCCUCCCUCUCGUGGUAAUGGCAGGUGGGCUGGAGGGUGAGGUGGGCUGCAGCAGAAUCCUCAGAGCAGAGGCUGGCAGUGCAGUGGCAGGCACGGCCCCUGCGGUGGCAAAUAAAAAUGCAACAGGGAACUCUACAGACUUAGCAGGAGCUGUGGGCACUGGGUGGACGCGGGUGCUGAGUUGGAGUGUAGCAAUAAAGCCCGAGGCAGUGGCACAAAGCAGCCGUGCUGAGUACUGGCAGCCAGGCUUCUCUGUAGGCACACAGCUGUUCUUCUUCCACUGCAGCACACAGCUGGGUAGAUGCGCCCUCUGGGAAGGGGCAGGAGACUCAGGGUCCUGGCUUUUCCUCUGAAACACCCCAAGAGAUGGUGAGAGUCCUUUCCAGUAAGAUUGGGUGUUAAUAAGGUUGCAGUGCUCUUACAAGCAAUGGCUCACCCUGAGUUAGGAAGAAGCUGUACAGGACUGGGCUCUGUGGUGACAGUGGAUUCUCCCUGUGGUAAGCAACAGUUUGACCAUCCUACUCUGAUCCCAAGGGCCAGUGAGGGAGAAAAGAGCCCAGCCAAAAUCUUGUGGUAUCUCUGCCCUUCUAGAGAGAAAACCCCUCAGGUCAGAGAGUAGUCAGCUGCA